rnacentral:lncRNA from 1 species
GGCUUCCUGGCACACUGUUCUGGGAAAUGCUUAAGAACAACUACCUUCAAGGAGCUCACAGUCUGGACUGUAAGACCUGAGAAGACAGCCCAAAGCAUCCUCAGAGACCACUUAGUCAAACUUUUCGACUGGCUGCUGAGAACUAAGAGCUAAGAGUUAGCAGACGGACCAGAAUGAAGACCCACAUGUCCGCAUCCCAGACCUGACAUCCCCCUACCAAUCUCCCUCACUGUUGCUGCUGUCCGCAGCCUCCUCAGCCUUCUGCAUCGUUGUGUCCACAAGGAAGCAAAGGUUAAGCAAUCCAGAGAGUGACCCCAUGUCCUCCCAGGAGCAAGUCUGCUGCUGCAGCCUUCAAGCAUGUGUUUGCCCCCUAAUAACGCUGGCAGUGGAAAGCACCAGUCAUCUGGGGAUGAGGACACAGGCAGCAAGAAGAUUAAAUGAGAUACUGAACAGAAAAGGCACAGUGCAUGCAUCUGUGGAGGACUCACUCCAGAUGAAUUGUCUUCCUCCCCUUGGAAAUUCCACAUGACUGCCCAACACGCUGCUUUGUCAUAUUACUAAAGAUUGCAUUUAAGAUGAGGGCUUCUAUCAUUUUGGUAAUCCAGAGGAGGAUGCUAUGGCACUAGAAGAUUGUGGAGUCAUUCAGUGGGAGAUGGUUGGAUACCUGAAUGGUUAUAUGGAGCCCAGAUCCUGGUCAACCAUCAAUGAACUAUAAGAGGAGUAAGCAGUAACCCUUCACUGUAUCAAGCCAAUGAUAUUUGAGGAUAAUUUAUACAGCCUUUAAACUGACUUCAAUAAUGAUACCUACUCAGUUUUCAAGAUGUCUUUCAAGGAUCCUUGUUUGGGUACCAAUCUCUGAUCUAACAUUCCCCCCUCUGCGGCAAGUCACUCAACCCCUCUGUAACUUGCCAAUGGUGGUAACAAUACCCUUUACGGGUAUUGUUUAUGAUGUUGAUUGAGGAUUAAAUGAGAUAAGCUAUGCAAAAUAUCUGGACCAAAGUGAAUUCAGCAUAAAGACCAGCUUUCAUUAUGAUCACCAUUAUCAUUCCAACUCUGAGACUCCAUAAUUGCUGAUUUCCAAAACUCAGAGCCAACAAUCCUGAGAAAUGGCCCUAAAUGUUUCCCCCACAGUUUUGAUGAAACAGUUUUAAAAUUUAGACUAUAAGAAAUCCAUGGAAUGCUACUGAUUAUAAAAAUCACGGUCAUGUCUUUCAUAAAAACAAUCUGAUGAAAAGCCAGUUUCGAUUGAAUGACCAUCAGGGUGUGAUCUUGGAGGCGAGAUGCUGAGGCAGCAGUUAUGAGGAGGAGUCGGGCACUGAAGAUGACAAACAUCAUGAGACCAAGUGUUAUUGUUAUCCUUCAUAUGCUCAAAACUUUGUCACUGAAAUAACACAGACCACUAACCAUCUGUUCCCCAAAAGCCAUGACUCAUGAAUUUCAUGCUCUUCAAAUCUAGUGCUUAAAAAAUCAUCAAGUAUGCAAAGUUGUUCCAAGAAAUCCCUACCUACUAAUUGUAUCCAGUGCUGUUAUUUGUUGUGUAUUCUCUCAACACUUACUGGGAUGUUUUGCUAGCUGUCCAACCAAAGCUGUAAUUAACUCAGUUUCCAUGGUGUCAUGGAUAAAGCACGGUCUUCGGCCAAAGACAAAAUUGCAUGGACUCCUGGAUCCAGUCCCAUAUUGUGUAUUUGAAAAUGUGUUAUUUCCUUUACCUCCUUCAGUCUCAAUGUCACUACAUAUAAGAUGGAGAUAAUGAUACAUCUCUUGUUAUAUUUUUGUAGUAAUUGGAGAUAAUUAAUUCAAAGUUACUGGCACAUGACAGGCACCCAAUAAAUAGUGAUAUUUUGAUUUUUGUCUAUCAACAUCUAUAGACACCUAUAGAUAUAUUUUUUCUCUUCUGCUAUUUUAGAGUCUAUAGAAUGGAAUGCUGAGAUAGCUAAAUAUUAUAAGGCUUAUGCUGUAAACUAUCAUGCAGAGUUUUGCCCACAACAUCUUAUAGUGUGUUUACUGAGUGCUUUCAUAUGAAUACCAGUGUAUGUUCUCCUUUACAUAUUUCCAUUUAUUGAGUUUAACUCUGAGCUUCAGAGAUCCACAAAGAAUGAUUUAAAUUAAAUUAUUUCUUUUCUUUUUUCUUUUUUUGUCUUUUUAGGGCUGCACCUGCAGCAUAUGGUGGUUCCCAGGCCAGAGGUCAAAUCGGAGCUUCAGCUGCUGGUCUAUACCACAGCCACAGCAACAUGGAAUCCGAGCCACGUCUGCGACCUACACCUAGGCAACUUGGGAUCCUUAACCCACUGAGGGAGGCCAGGGAUCGAACCUGCAACCUCAUGGUUCCUAGUUGGAUUCGUUUCUGCUGCGCCACAAAGGGAAAUCCAAAUUGUUGUGUAUUCCAAAUUAUUUCUUUUACAAAUUGUUGGGUAUUCCAAAUGAUUUCUUUUCUUUCAUGUAAAAGAAGUCUGGGAAUAGAUGAUUUUCAUGGCUGGUAUAAUGCCUCGAAGGUGUGAUAAAAAGAUAUAGUCUCCUUAUUCUUCUACUUUAUCAUCCUAAGAUAUUAAUUUCAUCCUCAGGCAACUUCGGGGUUAUAUAUGGUGUUUAGGUCUUUGACCAUUACAUUUGUAAGGCAUGUUGUAAAAACCACAAAGGCAGAAGGGCUGUUAGGAUGAAUCAGCUUUCUUCAAGUGGGCUUCUUGGAAGUUCCACAUAGCAUUCACUUGUACCUAGAACUUGAUCUUACAACUGAAACUAGCUAUAAGGGAGUCUAAGAAGUGUAGGCUUUUAUUUAUGGGUUUCAGUGUGCCAAACUAAAAGGUUGGGUUUCUAUUAUCAAAAUUAAUAAGGAAAUGCACGUUGGGACAAGACGGCAAACAAGACUGGAGGAAACUGGAAGCAUAGCCCAGCAGUUGUUAAGAGGGUUUAACCCAGGGACCAACUCCAUUUGGAGCAGAGGGUUGAGUGGUUCGCUAGAGCCAUAAAUAAGGAUAAUGUAGAAGAGUGCCAUGGAUGGUGCUCCCUGUGUGCAGGCUGAAGAUGGGUGACAGUAGUCACACCAUGGGCCUUGCCAUCCUUGGCUUAACCCAGAGGAGUGACAGGGUUUCACUUGGAAGAGUCGGUACUUUCACACAAUAAUAAUAGUAAAUAUUAGUGCUUUUUACUACAUCUUGAAAAAUGUUUCCCAAAUCAUUUUCUUAUUUGAUCCACCCCCCCGAGAAAAAAGUGGAAUAGACAGAGAUUAUUAUCAUCUGCAUUUGGCAGUUGAGAAAAAUAAACUCAAUUGGGGGAAGCAAGAUGCAUAAGGUCACGUCGCUAUCGAGUGGCAGAGCUGGAAUUUAAACUUCAGCCUCCUGACUGUAAGUAGGGAGCUAUUUAUAUUGGACUUGACAAGCACUUAGAAGUAGUUGGCUUUGGGGUCAGACACACACAGGCUUGAAUCCAUGCUCUACCCUUGCAGGAUCUUUUGGUUUUUAAAUGCAGUAGUAUUGAAUUUUUUUUUUUUUUUUUUGGUAUAGAGUUCUAUGAGUGUUAACAUAUGCAUAGAUCCUUGUAAACAUUACCACAAACAGGAUAUAGUACAUUUCAAACAUCUGAAGCAAUCCCCUUGUGUGGCCCUUUGGUAGGUUUUACUGUGAAGCUAGUGGGGGUGCUUCUGCCUGUGUUACUAUUGAUAGUCAAGAGUUCAAAAUGACAGUGAGGAGCCAGCUCAUUAUGAGUAUAUGAUAGGUAUAUUGUUCGGGAAAGACUGGGCUGCCAGUGACAGAAAGUAUAAAUAAAGAUGGCUUGAGGACAAAGGACACAUCUUAUCCUAUCUUAUAAUGAGAAGUCCACAGGCAGAGUGGGUUGCAGGUGUUCCUGGCUCGCUUCUCUAUGAUGCUCUUGGCUCCACAUAUUUGUUACAGAUGUUCCAGGUGUCACUGUCAGACGUAACAUAUCCAGAGGCAGAAAAGCACCAUCUUCUGCUCUUUCCUUCUCAGGAAUAAGAUAGUCUUGUCUAAAAGCUGCAGGGCAGAGUAUAUUUUUCGUGUUUCAAUGACCAAUAUUGAGUCGCACGUCUCUUGGUUCAUUAAUCAUGGGCAAGAGGAAUAGGACUUCCAUGAUUGACUUGUGCUGGUCAGGAUGCAAUGACUAAGGCUGGGGUGGGGUGCCAGCUUUCCACGAAGCAUGUAAGUGCAUGCUGGGUUCUGUUAAGAUGUGGGAAGUAGUGUUGCAGAUAAGGAGUAGGCAACAAACCGGAAGUACAGAGGUGGAUUCCUGCUGACAGCUCACUUUCCCCACCCUGGGCCACUGCCCCCCUCUCUGAAUCAGCACCAGGAGUUAAUUACCAGCCAGUUGGGGGCUUUCAAUCUUGUUAGAGCUUGUGUGUGUGUGUGUGUGUGUGUGUGUGUGUGUGUGUGUGUGUGUGUGUGUGUGUGAGUGUGUGAAGGAGCAAGGAGAGAUGUCAAAACAACUCCUAGGAAUAAUAUACGGAACAUACAUUGGCCAUACAGUGACAAGAGUAUCUUUUUGUCUCAUUGUAAAUAAAAUAAUCCCAUAAGAAAGCCAUUAGUCACAAAUCUCUGUAUCUUUCUUUCCAUUUUUCAGUCCCAGGCAGACAAUAAUUCCAAAUCCAAGCAAGGUCAAAAAGAAGAAAUUCGUUGAUUUGGAAUAAAGAACACGUAAUUUAUUCAAGUAUUUCCUUUUCACUGUGUAAGUUGCAAAAUAAAGAUGUUGUAUAAUUAGUGCA